rnacentral:rRNA from 1 species
UGGGGAAUAUUGCGCAAUGGACGAAAGUCUGACGCAGCCACGCCGCGUGAGUGAUGAAGGCCUUAGGGUUGUAAAGCUCUGUCGGGAGGGACGAAGGUAGUUUACUACUUGACGGUACCUCGCAAGAAAGCACCGGCUAACUCCGUGCCAGCAGCCGCGGUAAUACGGAGGGUGCAAGCGUUGCUCGGAAUCACUGGGCGUAAAGCGAGCGCAGGCGGCUAAAUAAGUCGGGUGUGAAAGCCCGGGGCUCAACCCCGGAACUGCAUCCGAAACUGUUUAGCUAGAGUACAGAAGAGGAAGGGGGAAUUCCAGGUGUAGAGGUGAAAUUCGUAGAUAUCUGGAGGAACACUCGUGGCGAAGGCGCCUUUCUGGUCUGGUACUGACGCUCAUGCUCGAAAGCGUGGGGAGCAAACAGG